AUACGGAGGGGGCAAGCGUUGUUCGGAAUUACUGGGCGUAAAGGGCGCGUAGGCGGGAAGUCAAGUUAGGGGUGAAAGGCCUCGGCUCAACCGAGGAACUGCAGGGCGAACCAUACAUCUUGAGACAGACAGAGGUCGUCGGAACGAUAGGUGUAGCGGUGGAAUGCGUAGAUAUCGGGAGGAAUACCGAUGGCGAAGGCGGCUACCUGGACCGGUUCUGACGCUGAGGCGCGAAAGCUAGGGGAGCAAACAGGAUUAGAAACCCCAGUAGUCC
rnacentral:rRNA from 1 species